AGUGGAAUUUCUGGGUUAUAUGGGAAGCUUCAUAAGAAACUGCCAAGUUGUUUUCCAAAGUGGUUGUACCAUUUUAUACACCAACUGGUAAU
rnacentral:pre_miRNA from 1 species